CAGACCAGGGGCUGGUUUUAUUCAACAUCAUUAUUAAUGAUCUGGAUGAUGGGAUGGAUUGCACCCUCAGCAAGUUCAUGGAUGACACUAAUCUUGGGGGAGAGGUAGAUAUGCUGGAGGGUAGAGAUAGGACACAGAGGGACCU